UAUUGCCUCAUUGUAUAAAUUUAAGGCUUAAAAAAAAAUAAAAAAUUAAACAAUCGUUUUCGCAAACCUGUUUUUUCCUCAAUUUUACAGAAACAAUGCGGUGAAAGUGAGUGAGUGCGCGCUUAGAUCAAAUCUCAGUGGUAAGAAAGUGAAGAAGUAACUUUUGACAGGUGUUAACUGAUUUGUCCGCUAGACAGUUUUCGCCUUAGAUCCCGGAACAAACCAGAUCUUCUUCUCCUUUACACCAAAGCCCCAAGCGCAGACAGAUUAAGACCAUAUGAACCACGGCAAAUCCACCACGACCAGGGGCUCUAAGCCCUUUGAUUCAAACAGAUAUAUUCCUCUGCGGCGGAGGAUAUCCUCAUGUUUUUUGUUCUAUUUGCUUGCAGAUAUUGUGUGUGUCUAUAGCCUAACAGUGGAUAUAUAUCAUAAAAAUUUAAUUUAGGUAAAUAUACCCAAAUGCAUUAAGAUAAAUCUGAUUUUAUUUUUAUUUACUGUACAAAUCAUCACAACAAUCAUUAGCCUAAAAGUAAGCUAAAUGUAAUUGCAAUGUUUAUCAUAGUUUAAUUUCAUAAUUUAAGUGCACAUACAAACAAAUCAUUUAAAAUGGUGAAAGUGGCCGAAGAGUUGCAUUAUAGCUAUACUAAAUCUACAAAAUCUCCUUUACACAUAUUACGACCUGCAGGUGAACUGAUAAAUAGGCCUACAUCCGAUGUUGAUAAUUAAUAAAAAAAGCAAAAACUACACAAACAAAAAAAUAAGUGGUGGCUGAGGAACUUCACGCAGGAGUCAGUGAACUGGCUCACUUGUUAAAGUCUCUCUGAGCCGAAAGGGAUCGCUGUAGGCGCUGCUACAGAGUGUGGGCAUGAGGUCACGUGUUACUGCACUCUCAAGAGUAAAGAAUGAUGACGCUCAAACUCAGUGGACCAAUGCUAAGUUCAAAGCAAAACAAACUGAAGACAUGCGAAAUUGCCGACUGUGAUAGUGAAGACGUUUUUAUUAAUUCUGCACCACCCGAUUCGAUAAGCAGUCUGUUUAGCCAUGGAGGGGUGAAUGAAAGAAAGCAUGGAAAGAGAAAAGCAGCAGUCACAUUCUUCACGCGCUGGCAGAAAGAUCAUUCUCUUUUUAAGGGAAGCUCUCCUGCUGUCCCAUUGGUCAGCGUUGUGUCACGCCCAUGUCCAUCCAGACAGUUCAUUCCCGGGCUUGAGGUUCGAGCGAGUCGUUUAGAGGCCCCCGGUUGCAGGUCCUGAUGGAGAGAGAGAGGGAGUGGGAGGGAGACAGAGCUAGAGAGAGGACGAGGGAAAGCCCAUAAUGCUGUAAUGCCCAUUAGCGAGAUUUCACGCACUCUCUCUGAUCUGACUCGCUGACAGAAGCCUCUAAGAGACUAUAAUGAGAAUGUUUGGCAGGAUUCUGGAUGUGUGUGUGUGUGUGUGUGUGUGUAUGUGUGUGUGUGUUAUAUCAGUGUCUAGGUGAAUGCAGUUUUUAUGUGCACCACUCAUCAGCUGUGACAGAAAUUUGAUAUGAUUCAUGCACCCACACAUAUUCGCCUCACACAUUAUUAUUCUUUGACAUUUUUCUUCAUACAUUUUUCAAAAGUCAAAUACAUUAAGGCUGAUUUUAGGGAUGUAUACUGAAAUUAUGGCCAAAAUCAAUAAGCCGAAUUUUUUUUUUUGUGUUAUAUCUGAUAAUUGUUAAAUAUUAAAAUUCUGUACUAUUUUGCCCCCCAAAAUGUAAAUAAUUUAAUUAAAAUAAAUGCUACAUGGGAAUUUAGGCAUCACAACAAUGCAAUGUACACUAUGGAAAAAGUAUUUAUUAUAUUUAUUUUGAAAUUUGCUGAAGAUUACAUUUAACCGUGUUAUUAAAUUAUUAGUAUUUUUUAGCAUUAGAUGAUGACAAUGGUAAUCUAAAUAUUAAAAAAGCUGGAUAUGAGCAUGCACAAAUAAAUCUAAAUACAACUAUAAAAGGAAUAUAGUUGUAGACUAGACCAACCUAUUAUAUUCAUUAACAUUUUUAACAUGUUUAAACUCUGCGUCAGAUUGCUGUCAAAGCGACAUGCUUAUUAUGAAAUAUUAACAGUCUACUCCUUUAAUUCCUUAAGUGGCAAAUAGUGGCAAAAAUGACUAAAAACACCCAUCCGCUGCUUUCUCCCUCUCUCUCACAUGCUCUCUCAUUUUAUUUUACACAAAUUAGCUUUGGUCCUGGAGGGCAAAAUGACAAGAGGUUACUGGAAGACUAUGUGUUUAAUUAAUUGAAAAAUGCUCAAAUUGCUUUUACAGUUGUUAUUGGAGGUGAAAAAAUGGAAUCCAUGUUGCCAGUACUCAGGCAUAAUUAGCUCCUGGGGGAGUUGGAUAUUUAGCAUUAGCAAUGUUGCUGCACUUAGGACACAAAUUUCUAUUUUGAUAAUGAAGGGCCCGGGCUGUCGUUGAGGACAGCUGUAGUUUGAGAGGGUGGGGGUGUUGAGAGUUUGGAGGUUCUCGGAGAGAGACACCCUGUCUGCUCUCUCUCUCUCUCUCUCUCUCUCUCUCUCUCUCUCUCUCUCUCUCUCUCUGUGUGUGUGUGUAUGUGUGUCUGUGAAAUGGCAGCAAGGGCUCCCAUGGGUCACACAUUACCCAAAGUAUUUAAGUUUCCAAUUAAACUGAGAACCAGCUAACACUGCAACAAGCUUGGAAUGAGCCAAUGAUAUUCCACACUCAUCUCAUGGAAACUGUGGCCCAUAGAAGAGGAGGAAAGGAUGAAGGAUGGGGAUAACAUAGGAGAAAAUCCUUUGUUUAUUCAGACUUUAACUUUAUUUAGACUACUUUUUUUUUCAGUACAGAGAUGGUUGGGAGGGAGAGGAGGCAAGAGGGAGUGUGAAGAAAAAGAGAGAAGGGAGAAUACAAGACUUUAAUGAUCUGCUGUGGAGAAUCAGUGUGGAGUCCUUGGAGACUGCUGGGCUAGUUUGAAGCAGCAUGGUCUCAUUUGGUUUGGACUGAGUGUGGCAGUCCAACUGAGCUCUUAUACCAUGCUGUCUAAAUGCCUGCCUGCUACUGCCUCUGUGUGCGUGUGUGUGUGUGUGUGUGGAGACAUAUGUCAUGUGGAUUGCAUACAGGACGUGUGAAAGAAUAAGUCUGCUCUGUUAAGUUCCCUUGUUAAACCAUAAUAAUUUCCACCUUAGUCAAUUAAACAAUCCCCAAUGUGUUUACAGAAAGUACAGAAAGUGCUCAUACAGUCUUUGCUAUUUUCAUUCCUUUUUGUUAGGCUAAACUCACUUUUGUCAAAACAUUUUUUAUUUAUUUUUUAUUUUUUUCUACAUUUGGAUAAUUAGAAUCUACAAAAACAGCAAUUCAGUGUUUUGCAAAUAGCACUCCUCACACAAAGACUCUCUUUAAGUUGAUUUUAAUACAGGCGAAGCAAGAAGAAUUACACAAUACACUACUAAGCAUAAAUAAUAUGCAUAGCAAAUACAAUUUGGGGUCAAUUAUUUGGUUUUUAAACUUUUUUAACAAUUAUUUCUGUAUAAAAAAUAUUUUUAAUUCAAAGAAUACAUUUUUCACUUUGUCCGCUAUCUAGGAAUUAUUUUUUCACUGAUAUUGUUGUAAUGCAUUUGUGUCAGUAAUGUACCUGUGAUAACUUAAAAUGAUUCCUACGGAGUCUGUAGUUUCACUGUAAAAAGCUGGUCUGUAAUAUAGCUGUGCAGGUAAACCUCUCUCCCCUAGCCUCAAUAGGCACGCUGGCGUCACUGGGGUUGAGGUCUUUAACCUUCUCGUUAGAGCGCCCGACUCCCAUGCCGACUUGCUAGUUUGAGCCCUGACCGGUUAUGCAUAUGAUAUUUUUGUAGUCUGUGAGUAUUCUUGCUGACAGUAUUUGUGAAGAGAAACGGUUUCAUUCUGAAAAUAAUAAAUAUUAAUUAAAAAAAUGUUUCCACAAUAACUUUUAUAAAGGUGUUUUUUUUUUUUUUUUUCUUUAAAGAUGCCUAAACAGUGAAGACUACAAUGAAAUAGCUCUGUCCCAUCCUUGUGCAGGGAGUUAAAGGAAAAAUUCUGUCAACAUGUGCUUAGUUAUUGUAUUUAAUAAUAAUAUAGGAAGUAAAAUAUGGACUAAAUAUGAUAAUAAAACAGAUCACGAUUAUAGAAUUGAGAUGUCUAUAUGCCUAUAAGGGAUAUUUCACCCAGAAGUAAACAGUCAUUAUUUACUCCCCUUAUGCUGUUCCAAACCUAUAUGAUUUUCUUUCUUCUGUGGAACAUAAAAGAUAUCUUAUUUAUAUGAAUGUUGAUUGCCAAAGCAUUUUGGUGGCUAUUUUGUUCCAGACAGAUUGACAUCCAUUGUAUGGAAGAAAUAAAACAAACACUGAAAUUGUAUUUAAAAUAUCAACUUUUGUGUUCCACAGAAGAAAAAGUCAUAGAAUGACAUGAGGGUGAGUAAAUAAUGAAAAUCUUUACAAACUAUCCCUUUAAUGGAGAAAUAGUUAAAUGACUGUCCUUUUACAUCCUAGACACCAUGCCCAUUGUACAGAAAAUAUGCUAAUUGGGGCAAUGGGAGAAACUGAGACAAGGGGUUAUUUAAUUUCCCAGGGUGCAUUGGGCUUAGCAGAGAUGACAGAGAGGCUGAGGCAGAGUGUAACGGGAGCUUCACCGCAGCAGCCCUGCUCUGGGCUUCCAACCGACAGAGGAGCACCGUGAGAAAGAGAGACGGAGAGAGAGAGAGAAAGAGAAAGAGAAGGAAAGUAGACCUCUGAGCUGCGACUCUUGUUCUGUAAAGCGCACAUCAUUAAAUGAUAUAAUGUUACUGUCAGUUUGUCAUGCAAUAGUGUAAACGAAAAAACUUUACAAGACUGGUGCCAAAAAUUAAGAGAUUGAGAGCGAGAGACAAACAGGACCUUGCCAAUCAUUCAUCAUUGUCUCACGUCCUCUCUCUCCUCUCUUCACAGACUUGCUCUUUUUGUGUGCGCUACCCAGAAUUCUUUGUGACAUUUGUUGUGUGAAGAUUACUCACUGGCCCGUAGCCUAGCGUAGCACAACAGUGAUGGUUUUAAAGACACAGAGUUGGAGCUGUCCCAGCCUCGACACCUCACCCACAAACUGUGCCUCCUGUCAACCCCCACGGGCACCUAUUGUGGUGAAUCAGUGACCGUGCCAUUCCUUCUUUCUGCUCUUCACCAACAAAUGAUAAACUAAGUGGAAAAAAGACAGAAUGGAAUGAAGAAGAAAAGAAGAUCCAGAGCAUGUUGCCUUUUGGCUGGAGUCGUUCAAGACAAUGCAAGUGCUGGACCAUCAUUUUCAAAUGCACUGAACAAAUGCAAUAGACCAGAGUACUGACAGCUUCCAUCAAACAAACAAUUCAUUAUUGUAUUUCUUGCAACACCCUGGUUGAAUGAAAAUGGAUGUAAUGUUUUAAUAGAAGAGCAACAUAGUAUUAUAUAACAUAUUUUACGGCUCUAGAAUUAAUACAUAAAAUGUAUACAAUAAAUUAAAAUAAAUUUAUACAACAAUAAAUAUACAG